GCUUUCGUAGUGUAGUGGUCAGCACGCUCGACGCGUAACCGAGAGGUCCGUGGUUCGAUUCCCGGCGAAGGCU
rnacentral:tRNA from 1 species